rnacentral:rRNA from 1 species
UACGAGGGGGGGCAAGCGUUGUUCGGAAUCACUGGGCGUAAAGGGCGCGUAGGCGGCCAUUCAAGUCAGAGGUGAAAGCCCAAGGCUCAACCUUGGAAUUGCCUUUGAUACUGUUUGGCUUGAGACCGGAAGAGGUUAGUGGAACUGCGAGUGUAGAGGUGAAAUUCGUAGAUAUUCGCAAGAACACCAGUGGCGAAGGCGGCUAACUGGUCCGGUUCUGACGCUGAGGCGCGAAAGCGUGGGGAGCAAACAGG